CUCGAGGCUCUGUGGCUGCCAUUUUCUCAGAGGUGUCUAUGUGAGUGAAAAACGGUGUCUCAGGAAAUCUUGGUGGCUUCAUCUCAUUUCCAAUGUUCGUGGAAGUAGCACUUCGUUGAAAGCAUUGCUAUAACUAUUCUGCCAUAGGAAUACUUCUGUCUAUCUGCUUUCUCAUCCAAGAAAUUGUCAUCACACUGCUCAGGCUUCGUCUCUGAUGAGAUGUGUCCCUCAAUCCAUACGAAUGAUUUUGCAUCAAAGGACACGCACCUCUUUUGGAAGACUUGAGUUUUGUUCUUAGGAAGGCCGCUUUAGUUGAAUGUGUUAAGUGAAAUGCUUAUACUUUCCUCCCCCUCUGUCAACUGCUGCGGAUGCUGUAUGGUGUGUGCACUCCUCUGUUAUUGAUCUGGAGGAGUAGAAACCUGAGCUGAAGCUGAUAGGCUGAGAACACAGACUGAGCUUAUGGAGUGCUUUGCAGAAGAACUUGGAAGCAGAGUUCUCCAGUGAGCUCAGGUGUCUAAAGGAGGGUGGAAGUUCUCAUAUCUGUUAGCUACUCUAAAGCUGUGGAAGAGAGGAAACAGGAUGGGAACCUACUAUAGAGGGUUCUCUGAAAGGAUCCAUCAAACAGUGGAUAGAAGCAGGUGCUGAGAUACACAGUCAAAAUUUGGGCAGUGUGCAGGGUGUCUUAUGGAGGAAGAGAGGGGUAGGGAUAGAGGGACAUGGAGGGGACAGGAGCUCCAUAAGGAGACCAACAGAGGUAAAGGAUCUGAGCCCAAGGGGUCCUGCAGACACUGAUGCACCAACUGAGGUCCAUGCAUGGAGAGGCCCUAGACCCUCUGCUCAGACGUGGUCAAUUGGCAGCUCAGUCUCCAUGUGAAUCUAUGAGUGAGGAGAGAAGGGGCUGCCUCUAUCAUGAACUCAUUUUCCUGCUCUUUGACCACUCCUCCCCCUCCCCUGUGAUGCGGUCUUGCCAGGUCAUGGAGGAAGAAGAUCCAGGCAGUCCUGAUGAGACUAGCUCUGGGCAGAUGACAAUA